rnacentral:rRNA from 1 species
AUUGAACGCUGGCGGCAUGCCUAACACAUGCAAGUCGAACGAGUGGCGGACGGGUGAGUAAUGUCUGGGAAACUGCCUGAUGGAGGGGGAUAACUACUGGAAACGGUAGCUAAUACCGCAUACCAUCGGAUGUGCCCAGAUGGGAUUAGCUAGUAGGUGGGGUAAAGGCUCACCUAGGCGACGAUCCCUAGCUGGUCUGAGAGGGUGACCAGCCACACUGGGAAGGGGACACGGUCCAGACUCCCACGGGAGGCAGCAGGGGGGAAUAUGCCACAAUGGGCGCAUGCCUGAUGCAGCCAUGCCGCGUGUAUGAAGAAGGCCUUCGGGUUUUAAAGUACUUUCAGCGGGGAGGCGUUACCCGCAGAAGAAGCACCGGCUAACUCCGUGCCAGCAGCCGCGGUAAUUC